rnacentral:rRNA from 1 species
AACGAACGCUGGCGGCAUGCCUAACACAUGCAAGUCGAACGAGACCUUCGGGUCUAGUGGCGCACGGGUGCGUAACGCGUGGGAACCUUCCCUUAGGUUCGGAAUAACUCCCCGAAAGGGGUGCUAAUACCGGAUAAUUUCUUCGGACCAAAGAUUUAUCGCCUUUGGAUGGGCCCGCGUUGGAUUAGCUAGUUGGUAGGGUAAAAGCCUACCAAGGCGACGAUCCAUAGCUGGUCUGAGAGGAUGAUCAGCCACACUGGGACUGAGACACGGCCCAGACUCCUACGGGAGGCAGCAGUGGGGAAUAUUGGACAAUGGGCGAAAGCCUGAUCCAGCAAUGCCGCGUGAGUGAUGAAGGCCUUAGGGUUGUAAAGCUCUUUUACCCGGGAUGAUAAUGACAGUACCGGGAGAAUAAACUCCGGCUAACUCCGUG